GAUGAAGAACGUAGCAAAAUGCGAUAAGUAAUGUGAAUUGCAGAAUUCAGUGAAUCAUUGAAUCUUUGAACGCACAUUGCGCCCGCCAGUAUUCUGGCGGGCAUGCCUGUUCGAGCGUCAUUUCAACCCUCAAGCACAGCUUGGUGUUGGGACUCGCGUUAAUUCGCGUUCCCCAAAUUGAUUGGCGGUCACGUCGAGCUUCCAUAGCGUAGUAGUAAAACCCUCGUUACUGGUAAUCGUCGCGGCCACGCCGUUAAACCCCAACUUCUGAAUGUUGACCUCGGAUCAGGUAGGAAUACCCGCUGAACUUAAGCAUAUCAAUAAGCGGAGGA
rnacentral:misc_RNA from 1 species